UGACCUCAAAUCAGGUAGGACUACCCGCUGAACUUAAGCAUAUCAAU
rnacentral:rRNA from 11 species